UACGUAGGGUGCAAGCGUUGUCCGGAAUUAUUGGGCGUAAAGAGCUCGUAGGCGGUGUGUCACGUCGGCCGUGAAAACCUGGGGCUUAACUCUGGGCGUGCGGUCGAUACGGGCAUCACUAGAGUUCGGCAGGGGGAGACUGGAAUUCCUGGUGUAGCGGUGAAAUGCGCAGAUAUCAGGAGGAACACGGUGGCGAAGGCGGGUCUCUGGGCCGAUACUGACGCUGAGGAGCGAAAGCAUGGGUAGCGAACAGG
rnacentral:rRNA from 1 species